rnacentral:tRNA from 1 species
GGGUGUGGCCAAGUGGUUAAGGCACGAGACUUUGACUCUCGCAUCCGUAGGUUCAAAUCCUGCCACCC